rnacentral:tRNA from 1 species
GGGCCCGUAGCUCAGCGGUCAGAGCCACCGGCUCAUAACCGGUCGGUCCCUGGUUCGAAUCCAGGCGGGCCCACCA